rnacentral:rRNA from 1 species
CAGCGCCACGAGUGGGGAUCAUCUUUAUUUGGCCUAAAGCGUCCGUAGCUGGUUUAGUAAAUCUCUUGUGAAAUCGUUAAGCUUAACUUAACGGCGUGCAGGAGAGACUGCUAGACCAGGGACCGGGAGGAGUCAGAGGUAUGCUGGGGGGAGCGGUAAAAUGCUAUAAUCCUCGGUAGACCGCCUGUGGCGAAGGCGUCUGACUAGAACGGGUCCGACAGUGAGGGACGAAAGCCAGGGGAGCAAACCGGAUUAGAUACCCGUGUAGUCC